AUUGAACGCUGGCGGCAUGCCUUACACAUGCAAGUCGAACGGCAGCACGGGUGCUUGCACCUGGUGGCGAGUGGCGAACGGGUGAGUAAUACAUCGGAACGUACCUUAUCGUGGGGGAUAACGCAGCGAAAGCUGUGCCAAUACCGCAUACGCCCUGAGGGGGAAAGCGGGGGAUCGAAAGACCUCGCGCGAUUAGAGCGGCCGAUGCCUGAUUAGCUUGUUGGUGGGGUAAAAGCCCACCAAGGCGACGAUCAGUAGCUGGUCUGAGAGGACGAUCAGCCACUCUGGGACUGAGACACGGCCCAGACUCCUACGGGAGGCAGCAGUGGGGAAUUUUGGACAAUGGGGACAACCCUGAUCCAGCAAUGCCGCGUGUGUGAAGAAGGCCUUCGGGUUGUAAAGCUCUUUUGUCAGGGAAGAAACACCGGCUCUAACACAGUCCGGGAAUGACGGUACCUGAAGAAUAAGCACCGGCUAACUACGUGCCAGCCGCCGCGGUAA
rnacentral:rRNA from 1 species